AUUGAACGCUGGCGGCAGGCCUAACACAUGCAAGUCGAGCGGAUGAAGGGAGCUUGCUCCUGGAUUCAGCGGCGGACGGGUGAGUAAUGCCUAGGAAUCUGCCUGGUAGUGGGGGAUAACGUCCGGAAACGGGCGCUAAUACCGCAUACGUCCUGCGGGAGAAAGUGGGGGUUUUUGGGACUUCCGCCGUUCGGUGGGGCCUAGGUCGGAUUAGCUAGUUGGGGGGGUAAAGGCCUACCAAGGCGACUAUCCGUAACUGGUCUGAGAGGAUGAUCAGUCACACUGGAACUGAGACACGGUCCAGACUCCUACGGGAGGCAGCAGUGGGGAAUAUUGGACAAUGGGCGAAAGCCUGAUCCAGCCAGGCCGCGUGUGUGAAGAAGGUCUUCGGAUUGUAAAGCACUUUAAGUUGGGAGGAAGGGCAGUAAGUUAAUACCUUGCUGUUUUGACGGUACCAACAGAAUAAGCACCGGCUAACUUCGUG
rnacentral:rRNA from 1 species